CUCGUCAGCUCGCGUCGUGAGAUGUUGGAUUAAGUGCCCGUAUACGAGCGCAACCCUUCGUCCUUAGUUCACCAGCACGUUAAUGGUGGGCACUCUAAGGAGACUGCCGGUGACAAACCGGAGGAAGGUGGGGAUGACGUCAAGUCAUCAUGGCCCUUACGGCUUGGGCUACACACGUGCAUACAAUGGUCAGGAUACAGAGGGCUUGCCAAGCCCGCGAGGUGGAGCUAAUCCCAGAAAAGCUCGAUCGUAGUCCGGAUCUGCAGUCUGCAACUCGACUGCAGUGAAGUCUGGAAUCGCUAGUAAUCGCGAGAUCAGCAUGUCGCGGUGAAUACGUUCCCGGGUCCUUGUACACACCGCCCGUCACACCAUGGGAGCUGGGUUGUUCACCAGAAGUAGGUAGUCUAACCUUACAGUGGCCCGUG
rnacentral:rRNA from 1 species